AAUGACUGAUUAUUUUUUAUUUUUUUUAUAAUAAUGGGCCUACUAAAUCUAGGUCUAGACUCUACUUAAAUCUAGUCUAAAAUAAUGACUGUCUAAGACUCUAGAUGAUUGAGAAGUUCACAUAGAGGUGUUUUUAAUAAUACAGCAUGUCGGCUGAAAGUAUAUAAAGUGCUUUUUUAUUUGUAAAAUAAAAAAGAGGCUCCAGUACUCAUUGAUAGAUUGCCUAACUUUCAACUAAUAAUAAAUUAACAAUUAAUGUUGAAUUACAAGAAAAGUAAUCAUUUUUCCCGACAUUGAAAAAAGGUGCCGGUACCCCGUACCGGUGCGUACCGUCACAAAAAAUAUAUGUAUAUCUCAAUCUUCUUUCAUUUAAUUUUUUUGCGGGGUUAUUGCUACUUAAUACAUUGAUACCGGAUCGAUUUAAAUAGGGCCUAAGUAUACAAGCAGGAUUUCGAGCAUUGGAUAAAUUUAUUUUUUAAGUACAAAGUUUUAUGGAAGAGGCAAUAUAUUAGUUGUUUGAAGAUUGUAACUUCUUAAAUUCAGGCUAAAAAUAUCGAAGCCUACAUUUUUACACUUAUUUCAAAAUAGUCAGAAGAGAUGGACUGACUCAUAGUGUAGCUUGUGUACAUCUGCAAAAACACAAACUCAGUUAGACUUUCAAAACUAUUAAAAGAAAAACUUAGUGAUUAUUUUUACUGUAUAAUUCUAUUAUUAUUCCUUUUUAGAAUUAGGAUAUAAACAAAAAUUUGCCAUAUGACUUUAUCUAACAGAAAAAAAAAUUAAACUUACAUCUAUUUAUGCGGUUAUUUAUAGUUACCUAGUAAUAUAAAAUAUAUUGAACUAACACGUACAUUCAUCAUAAUGCAGCCAUGCGAUUUUUCGUUUAUAAACAUAGCAUUAUUUAGGACCAAUAUUUUACUAAGGCUGCUUGGAGAAAUCAGGUAUACCCAUUAGGAGAAAAACGACUCCUUUACUCAAGAAAAAUUUAAGAAACUAGAACAGACACAAAAUAAACAGUGACAUUCAUAACAAAAUAAUAUUCAAAUUGAUUAGAGUAACACCUUUUUAAGUAAUCAUUUAAAGUUUAAAAUCACUACAAUUUUUUUCAACAAUUACUUUGUGUAUUAAAUUGUGUAUCGGAAAAUGCCGGGUACAUGAAAUAAGCUAGUCCUAAAAAAACAACACAGAUCUUGGGUAAAAUACUCAUAAAAUAAAUAAAUUAAAAAAGCGACUUCCGGCCCAAUACUUUUUAAUCAAAGAAACGAAACGGACUAGUCCAACAAACCCUAUUAUACAUUACCAUUUAUCUAAGUUUAAUUCAUUUUGGUUCAUUUCUUUUAAUGAUAAUAAAAAUAAUAAUCUUUAUUAUCCAAAACAUUGUGAUGAUGAUCUGACAUCAAGCGAUUAAGUCAAUAGACGAAGUACACAAUGACUCGCUCUACUCCAGUCCAUUACCUACUUCUUGGACUGAGUGGACUCCUCAUGUUUAGCCUUUUCGUUGCCUUGGUAUACCUUGUCUUCAGAGAGAAGCAGAAGGGCAAGCUUGCUCGCAAGCAAUAUUUACGGAGUUUGUUACAGAAAAGGAGGAAAGCCAUUAGUGGACGUCCCAGGGGACCAGAGAUCUCUUUCUCCGAUGAAAGCACCACGGAAUGGCGGAACACGUCCCCUCCGCUUACACCCCGCCAUGACACCGAGACACGGUCCUCUGGCCUCGAGGACGUCACUGACAACCAGAUGACAUUACCGUCUUGACUGUGUCUCUGGCCAUACGGCUGUUGCUCUACGUAGAUGUCUACAACUGGUGCACUGUGCUCUACGUCGAUAAGAGAUUUGUGCCUUUGGAAAACAUAUUGCCAUGACCUAUUUUUUUUUCAUCGAGUCCGUAACAGGAUAUGUGCCUACAUUCUUCGAAGCCAAUCUCUUAACAAUGUGAACUAACAGUUAAACCCAAUUUAUCAAUUUACGGAUUAGUAUUGCUUCUCAAACAAUGACACAGUUGAUCAGUUUAUUCUAUGCUUACCGGUGACAAUGUUAAAAGUUAAUUCCAGGAGUAGAUCCAUAAUCAUAUUUUUCUUUAAAUAUGUUUUUUGAUGGUUACUUGUAUUUUAUAAAUAAGAAUCACUGUAUUUGUAAAUAUGUAGAGGAAAAGGGGGUCAAUAUAACUAUUUAUGUAUGUUCCAGCUUUAUAACAAUAAAUAUUCCUAUACUGCAAAUGUACAAGGAUUAGAGACUUAGUUAUUGACAUCAAAAUAGGAAAAUGUCUCAAAUAGUAUCAGUAUGUAGGAGAAUAAGUACCAACUGUAUGUAUACUUUGGUUGUGUUUAAAAGGUCAAAAUGUAUGUAUACUUUGGUUGUGUUUAAAAGGUCAAAAUGUGUAGUAUGAGUGGGUAAGCCAAGUAUAAUAACGCCUCGGUUACUUGCAGCAGUGAUGGUAUGGCCAUCCAAGAUAUGGAAAGGUUUUUCUUUCGAUUGUAUAACUCUAUAAAAUGAUCCGUACAUUUUGAAACUCUAACUGCAGUCAUCCAGCCAGUGUCAUUGCAUACUGCUAUUGUUCCUGGAGGGGAAACAUCUAAAAAGUUAAUCUUUAAGGCGUUUCACCAUUGACACAAAAUAUUGUUGUAGUGGAAAUACUUUUUUUCUGCACUGGUCAACUUCCUCACAUGAUGCCUUCCUGGCCUCCUUACCACUUUGUUUGCUGUUUCUUCUGCACAGUUGAGAGCGCCUUCUUAUCAGCAUUGAAGAUCCUAAGAAAUUUAAAGGGUUUCAAAGUGUUUCUAUGUCAUGAUACAAGUGCUCAAUGCUGCCUUGUUAAAUCAGUACUACGUGCAAGAAAUGUUGCUACAGGUUAUCGUAAGCUCAAAUUGUGACAUUUCUUAAAAUCUGUAAACCAGUUUUUUCCUGUCAUUCCAUCUGUUUUAUUAAAGCUAUGAGGUAAGGCCAUUUAUCACUGUUAUCUGGUACGCAAGACAUCUUAUGUGAUUUCUGGUGGUGCAAACAGCAUUCCUUCCAGCUGACUGAUGUUAACGACUGGUUCAUGCUCAAGCUCCACUGGAUGAACUAUCAUUCUACCUCCUUGAACUUUUUCAUGUCUUUCCAGAGUUGGUUUACAAAUGCCAUAAAGUCUAGACACUUUAUUUAUUCCACAUUUAUUCCCCAGUGCCUCUUAGGCCUUUAAUUGAUCCUCCUGGGACCAAGUUACAUCUCUACCCCAGGAAAAAAAAUCGAAUGAGUGUAAAUGCUGAUUGAAGUGAUUGACAUAGUCUAUAUGCUUUUGUUUUUUUUUAUAUAUAAAAAUGUAUUUAACGUUGGGGGUCAAUUUUUUUUUAUAUCUACUGAUCUAGGUUAUGUUUAGUCCAGAUACUAAAUCUACUUGUAAUUGACUAUUAUAGUUUAGAUCUUUAGAUGUACUCAUAAGUUUCUAGAUCUAGAGCUUAAUAGUACCGUUUGUCGGGUUAGUACUACCGGUACUUUAACCCUUGUGUCUAUGGUACUAUUUACCCAAAUGAAACACACGCACAUUGUGGGACAUUUAGUUAAUAUGCUGCAAAAAAAAGAGUUGUACAAAGACAUUAUUUCUAAGAGGAAAAAUUGGUUAACAAUGCAAUAGCUAAUAGCUAAUGGAACGUGAUAGGUUGCAUCAUUACAUAAUUAGACUAUUUCAAACAUGAGCAAAAUGUACAUCUAACAACGAAACAAAUAAUGUAGACUUACUAUUUUGGUUUCAUUUGACAUAACGUCAUUACAUAAAGGAACAGUUAAUAAAGGCUUCAGAAAUUGUUAUGGAGUGUGUGUAUGUUUACAAGAUAAAAAUAAAGCCUUGUCAGUAGCGAUCUUAGGUAGGACAGACGACUCCAAAACGCCUGACUGAAAAUACGUGUUAUUGUAGUGAGUUUGAUUUUGUUUAGAAUACCAUUUUAUAUUAUUACUACUAUAUUCAUUGCAUUUCAUCUCAAGUUUAUAUUGUAAUAAAAUUUCUAUUUAGUUU